rfam:Picea glauca, whole genome shotgun sequence.
ACAUGAAAACAAAAUAGAGUUAAUGCAUUGGAUCCCAUUAGAAAUCCACAAUUAAGCGUGCUUGGGCUAGAGUAGUACUGGGAUGGGUGACCUCCCAAGAAGUCUUAGUGUUUUACAUGCC